AAUUAUCGAAGGAUAUAUGACCUGAAUUCAUAAUU
rfam:Flavobacteria bacterium BAL38 1101699887718, whole genome shotgun sequence.